GGAUGUGCAAGCAUUUGAGAGGUUGCUUGGGCCCUGCAUGGACAUCAUGAAGAGGAAUAUAUAACACAUUACAAGGAGCAGCUGGUAGCAAUAUUUGGCUCUAGCAUGGACCUGAAGGAUUCAGGGAAUUAGGCACAGGUGCCUCUUCUCUGCUUGGACUGGCCUUCAUCAUCUUCAGCAUCAACUUCAGCAGGAAACCAGAUUCCCCACCCACGGGACCAUCUACCUGGGAGUUGCUGCCCUCAAGUGCUAUGUUAUUCUCCUUCCUCUGCCCUACAUCUGUGGCCAUGGAGGUGACCUGGGGGCUGCUGGUGGUUGGGCUGUGCCCCCGCUCCUGGGCUGGCAGGUCCUGCAGGUCCUGGAGCAAAUGGUGCAGGGCCUGAAAGUUGGUGGCCCCAAUCGUUUUUUGUUUGCUUUAAAAAACAGAUUUCUUUUGUUUUGAAAUCGUAACAAGCAAUUUUGUAGAAUGGUUCUCUUCCACCUGAGGGAGGGCCUGGAAGCCAGGUAUUUCAACAGCUUUUAAUGAAUCUUCUCAUUCAUGGCUGACCUUACAAAAUGAAAAUAACAAGGUCACAUUUGCAUCCUAGCUUUAUUUCAACUGACCUGCAGGCAAAAGGAUAGAACUAUUACAUAAACACUCUGAUCCAUGUAUAAUAUCUUAAAUAGAGGAGGAAUUCAAACCAGGAUACCAGAUAAAAUAUUCUGAAGCUCUUUGAAGCAGUUAUGUUCCUGAGCUCCAUUUUACAGACAAUAAGGCAACAUCCCUGCACAUCAGCUUUUUGAUAAUUUUUUAUACAUUUUUCAAUGGUAAAAAAAAAAAACCACCAAAAAAACAAAACAGAGUUCACAAUGUACAUUUCUUACACUAUUUUCACAGCUUCUGAACACUAUAUACUUUUUUCUCCUUUUUAUAGCAAAGAUAUAUUCUAAUAAACUGUGCACCUUAAUAGUUAAUAA